rnacentral:piRNA from 1 species
UGACAAGUGUCACGUAUAUCAGAUGUGUAU